AAGUUGAGUGGCGGACGGGUGAGUAACACGUGGGUAACCUGCCUAAAAGAAGGGGAUAACACUUGGAAACAGGUGCUAAUACCGUAUAUCUCUAAGGAUCGCAUGAUUCUUAGAUGAAAGAUGGUUCUGCUAUCGCUUUUAGAUGGACCCGCGGCGUAUUAACUAGUUGGUGGGGUAACGGCCUACCAAGGUGAUGAUACGUAGCCGAACUGAGAGGUUGAUCGGCCACAUUGGGACUGAGACACGGCCCAAACUCCUACGGGAGGCAGCAGUAGGGAAUCUUCCACAAUGGACGCAAGUCUGAUGGAGCAACGCCGCGUGAGUGAAGAAGGUCUUCGGAUCGUAAAACUCUGUUGUUAGAGAAGAACACGAGUGAGAGUAACUGUUCAUUCGAUGACGGUAUCUAACCAGCAAGUCACGGCUAACUACGUGCCAGCAGCCGCGGUAAUACGUAGGUGGCAAGCGUUGUCCGGAUUUAUUGGGCGUAAAGGGAACGCAGGCGGUCUUUUAAGUCUGAUGUGAAAGCCUUCGGCUUAACCGGAGUAGUGCAUUGGAAACUGGAAGACUUGAGUGCAGAAGAGGAGAGUGGAACUCCAUGUGUAGCGGUGAAAUGCGUAGAUAUAUGGAAGAACACCAGUGGCGAAAGCGGCUCUCUGGUCUGUAACUGACGCUGAGGUUCGAAAGCGUGGGUAGCAAACAGGAUUAGAUACCCUGGUAGUCCACGCCGUAAACGAUGAAUGCUA
rnacentral:rRNA from 1 species